AACCUACACUUCCAAAAGUUUUUUUUUUUUUUCUUUGAGAGAAAGGUAACAUCAUAUCUGCUUUAUUUCUUUUUCAAAAAAUUAAAUAUAAAGCAACUAGCUUUCGAGCUCAGAACCUUAGGUACCAACUAUUACACUCUUUACUAUUUAUACUAGGGACGGUCCGUAACCUGCAUUUUAGAGUUAACCUCAUAGAAUAGAGUUCACGCACUACUACAAAGAUUCCAUACUAACUAAUAGUAUCACUUUACCGACCGUCCCUAGCACUAGCGCAAGUGGUAAAGGGUUUAGUGGUUGGUAUCCGAGAUCUCAAGUUCGAAUCUUAGUUGAUUCACAUUUCAAGUUAAGUUUAUUUCUGAAAAGAAAUAAACAAAGCGUGUAGCAUGCUAUCUAUUUCUCAAAAAAAAAAAAAAAAAAAAAAAAAAAAAAAAACCACACUAAUAGUAUCACUUUUGCACUUUUUUUCCAUCCUUCUAACAAGCUAAACUCACCAUCCAACUUUUUAGAAAUCAAAACAUUCUUUGGGAUACCUGUUGUCCAAGAUUCAUUCUCUUAGGAAGUUGUGGGAUCGUUUUCGCUUUAACUAUUUUUCUUUUUUUUUCUCUUGAGAUCUGGUUGCCUCAUGCAGCUGAGUUCAUUCUUUAAAUGAAUGAAACGGUAGCGUGCUAUUUUUUUUUUUUU
rnacentral:lncRNA from 1 species